GGUCAAAUAUUAUUUCAUAGCCAUGGGGUACAUAUGUCAUGGCCACAAGAUAGACAUAUUUAUUGGAGAUUUUAAUUAUUUGGACAUAAAUUUGGACACAGGGACUAGUAGUUCAGAAAAGGAAAUUAGGUUUUUGAACUUGUUAAAUGACACCUUCAUGUCACAACCUGUACAAGCACCAGCUUGAAAGGAUGCUUGUCUGGACCUGGUUCUAAUAAUGUUGAUCUUUUGACCAACAUUCAAG